AUGGCAUUAUGUGUUCUUAUUCAGCUUGCUUGUGGAAAAACUGGUUCUCGUUCAGUUAUGUGUGUCAGUCUGAUAGAAGAUGGACACCCCUCUUCAAGUUGGUUUAUGGGCUUGCGGAGUGUGAGAAGGCCGGUUCAUAUUGACAUGGAGGAGGCACAGAGGUUUAUUGCUUCUUUUUGUGGGCUGGCCUUGAGGGGGAGACCAAAGCAAACAUCAACAUGUUCAAGUAGCUAUGCCAUUCGAUUUGAAGGACAAAGAGUUGAUCACAAAGGAGUAGCAUUCAGGAUAUAUACACAAGAGUAUAGAACCAAAUUAUAUGAUGUAAUUGACCACUAUUUCUAUUAA
rnacentral:rRNA from 1 species